CACGUAGGGGGCGAGCGUUGUCCGGAUUUAUUGGGCGUAAAGAGCUCGUAGGCGGCUCGGUAAGUGAGGUGUGAAAACUCCAGGCUCAACCUGGAGACGCCAACUCAUACUGCCGUGGCUAGAGUCCGGUAGGGGAGCAUGGAAUUCCUGGUGUAGCGGUGAAAUGCGCAGAUAUCAGGAGGAACACCAGUGGCGAAGGCGGCACCCUGGACCGACACUGACGCUGAGGAGCGAAAGCCAGGGGAGCAAACGGG
rnacentral:rRNA from 1 species